GGGACAAACACAGGGCACUGCUAGGGGCACAGAGCUGCAGCAGGAGCAGGAUUAGGAGAAAGCCACAGUAAAAGUGAUGAAGCCGUGGAAGAUAUUUUUCUUCCUCUCCCACAGACCUGGGUCCCACGAGCGUGAUCUCAAGGAAGGAGAAGACUGCCUCCAAUAGCACCUUGUUACCAGGU